rnacentral:SRP_RNA from 2 species
GCUGGGCAUGGUGGCGUAUGCCCGUAAUCCCAGCUACUCAGGAGGCUGAGGCAGGAGAUUCACUUGAACCCGGGAGGUGGAGGUUGCAGUGAGCCGAGAUCAUGCCACUGCACUCUAGCCUAGGUGACAAAGUGAAACUUUGUCUCAA